rnacentral:rRNA from 1 species
UACGUAGGCAGCGAGCGUUGUUCGGAUUUACUGGGCGUAAAGCGUGCGUAGGCGGUGUCUUAAGUUUGUUGUGAAAUCUCCCGGCUUAACCGGGAGGGUGCGGCGAAUACUGAGAUGCUGGAGUGCCGGAGAGGUAAGCGGAAUUCCUGGUGUAGCGGUGAAAUGCGUAGAUAUCAGGAGGAACACCUGCGGUGUAGACGGCUUACUGGACGGUAACUGACGCUGAGGCACGAAAGCGUGGGGAGCAAACAGG